rnacentral:lncRNA from 1 species
UGAAAGUACGUAGCGCAUGCUGAUAAGAAAUAAGAUCGAUCUGUUGUGAAAAAUACAGUCCAUAAUCAUAAUGCUUUGAAGGCCAUCUUUAAAAAAAAGAUUGUACGACACCAUGAAUUUCUAGAGAAAUAUUGUUGGUGUGUACUGGACGUAUUUUUUCCGUACGAUAAGAGACAAACUUUGAUCCAGUGGGCGGAUAAAUAAAAACAAAAACUGUGAUUUCCAACCUUGAACUGAUAUGGU